rnacentral:rRNA from 1 species
UACGUAGGGCGCAAGCGUUGUCCGGAAUUAUUGGGCGUAAAGAGCUCGUAGGCGGCUUGUUGCGUCGACUGUGAAAACCCGCGGCUUAACUGCGGGCUUGCAGUUGAUACGGGCAGGCUAGAGUUCGGUAGGGGAGACUGGAAUUCCUGGUGUAGCGGUGAAAUGCGCAGAUAUCAGGAGGAACACCGGUGGCGAAGGCGGGUCUCUGGGCCGAUACUGACGCUGAGGAGCGAAAGCGUGGGGAGCGAACAGG